rnacentral:rRNA from 1 species
UACGUAGGGGGCAAGCGUUGUCCGGAUUUAUUGGGCGUAAAGAGCGUGUAGGCGGCUAGAUAGGUCCGUUGUGAAAACUCGAGGCUCAACCUCGAGACGCCGGUGGAAACCAUCUAGCUAGAGUCCGGAAGAGGAGAGUGGAAUUCCUGGUGUAGCGGUGAAAUGCGCAGAUAUCAGGAAGAACGCCCGUGGCGAAGGCGGCUCUCUGGUACGUGACUGACGCUGAGACGCGAAAGCGUGGGGAGCGAACAGG